AGCUUUGUGCAGUGGCGGUAUCGUAGCCAAUGAGGUUUAUCCGAAGCCCGAUUACUGCUAAGAAUGUUUCCAAAAUAUCUCAAUAAGUUUUCAAAUUAACAUAUUAAAGUUCACAUAUUAAAAUAAUAAUUAUUA
rfam:Fukomys damarensis contig96526, whole genome shotgun sequence.